rnacentral:rRNA from 1 species
GUGCCAGCCGCGCGGUAAUACCGGCAGCCCGAGUGAUGGCCGAUCUUAUUGGGCCUAAAGCGUCCGUAGCUGGCCGCGCAAGUCCAUCGGGAAAUCCACCUGCUCAACAGGUGGGCGCCCGGUGGAAACUGUGCGGCUUGGGACCGGAAGGCGCGACGGGUACGUCCGGGGUAGGAGUGAAAUCCCGUAAUCCUGGACGGACCGCCGAUGGCGAAAGCACCUCGAGAGGACGGACCCGACAGUGAGGGACGAAAGCCAGGGUCUCGAACCGGAUUAGAUACCCCGGUAGUCC